AUUGAACGCUGGCGGCAGGCCUAACACAUGCAAGUCGAGCGAGCGGCGGACGGGUGAGUAAUGUCUGGGAAACUGCCUGUUGGCGGGGGAUAACUCCUGGAAACGGUAGCUCAUCCCGCAUACCAUCAGAUGUGCCCAGAUGGGGUUAGCUAGUAGGUGGGGGAACGGCUCACCUAGGCGACGAUCCCUAGCUGGUCUGAGAGGAUGACCAGCCACACUGGAACUGUGACACGGUCCAGACUACGACGGGAGGCAGCAGUGGGGAAGAUUGCACAAUGGGCGCACGCCGGAUGCAGCCAUGCCGCGUGUGUGAAGAAGGCCUUCGGGUUGUAAAGCACUUGCAGCGGGGAGGCGUUACCCGCAGAAGAAGCACCGGCUAACUCCGUGCCAGCAGCCGCGGUAAUUC
rnacentral:rRNA from 1 species